rnacentral:lncRNA from 1 species
AGUUACUGAAAGAUUAGUGUGCCACAUCCGUAAUCAGCAACUCAAUUGAACACAAUUAUCUAGUGGUUGAGCACAUGGGUUAUCGAGUUUCAAAUGAUUGUGUAAGGAAAAGAUAUAAACUUAAUCUUGAAGAUUUUCUUGGUGAUGGUUUCUAUUAUACGAGUACUCUAUGAAAAGAUUUUAAUUCAAUCUGCAGCCCGCCUUAAAGUUUGAUUUUAUUAAAAUCGGAACAGCUGAG